rnacentral:tRNA from 1 species
AAGGAUUUAAGUUAAAAGAAACUGUUAGCCUUCAAAGCUGAGAAUAGGAUUGAGGGACCUAAGCCUUG